CCUACGGGAGGCAGCAGUGGGGAAUAUUGCACAAUGGGCGCAAGCCUGAUGCAGCGACGCCGCGUGAGGGAUGGAGGCCUUCGGGUUGUAAACCUCUUUUAUCGGGGAGCAAGCGUGAGUGAGUUUACCCGUUGAAUAAGCACCGGCUAACUACGUGCCAGCAGCCGCGGUAAUACGUAGGGUGCAAGCGUUAUCCGGAAUUAUUGGGCGUAAAGGGCUCGUAGGCGGUUCGUCGCGUCCGGUGUGAAAGUCCAUCGCUUAACGGUGGAUCCGCGCCGGGUACGGGCGGGCUUGAGUGCGGUAGGGGAGACUGGAAUUCCCGGUGUAACGGUGGAAUGUGUAGAUAUCGGGAAGAACACCAAUGGCGAAGGCAGGUCUCUGGGCCGUUACUGACGCUGAGGAGCGAAAGCGUGGGGAGCGAACAGGAUUAGAUACCCUGGUAGUCCACGCCGUAAACGGUGGAUGCUGGAUGUGGGGCCCGUUCCACGGGUUCCGUGUCGGAGCUAACGCGUUAAGCAUCCCGCCUGGGGAGUACGGCCGCAAGGCUAAAACUCAAAGAAAUUGACGGGGGCCCGCACAAGCGGCGGAGCAUGCGGAUUAAUUCGAUGCAACGCGAAGAACCUUACCUGGGCUUGACAUGUUCCCGACGGUCGUAGAGAUACGGCUUCCCUUCGGGGCGGGUUCACAGGUGGUGCAUGGUCGUCGUCAGCUCGUGUCGUGAGAUGUUGGGUUAAGUCCCGCAACGAGCGCAACCCUCGCCCCGUGUUGCCAGCGGAUUAUGCCGGGAACUCACGGGGGACCGCCGGGGUUAACUCGGAGGAAGGUGGGGAUGACGUCAGAUCAUCAUGCCCCUUACGUCCAGGGCUUCACGCAUGCUACAAUGGCCGGUACAACGGGAUGCGACGCGGCGACGCGGAGCGGAUCCCUGAAAACCGGUCUCAGUUCGGAUCGCAGUCUGCAACUCGACUGCGUGAAGGCGGAGUCGCUAGUAAUCGCGAAUCAGCAACGUCGCGGUGAAUGCGUUCCCGGGCCUUGUACACACCGCCCGUCAAGUCAUGAAAGUGGGCAGCACCCGAAGCCGGUGGCCUAACCCCUUGUGGGAUGGAGCCGUCUAAGGUGAGGCUCGUGAUUGGGACUAAGUCGUAACAAGGUAGCCGUACCGGAAGGUGCGGCUG
rnacentral:rRNA from 1 species